UACGAAGGGGGCUAGCGUUGCUCGGAAUCACUGGGCGUAAAGCGCACGUAGGCGGAUUGUUAAGUCAGGGGUGAAAUCCUGGAGCUCAACUCCAGAACUGCCUUUGAUACUGGCGAUCUCGAGUCCGGGAGAGGUGGAGUGGAACUGCGAGUGUAGAGGUGAAAUUCGUAGAUAUUCGCAAGAACACCAGUGGCGAAGGCGGACUCACUGGCCCGGUACUGACGCUGAGGUGCGAAAGCGUGGGGAGCAACAGGG
rnacentral:rRNA from 1 species